GAUAAACGCUGGCGGCGUGCCUAAUGCAUGCAAGUCGAACGGUCUAGCUUCUUCGGAAGAUAGGUAGUGGCAAACGGGCGAGUAACACGUGGGAUCUGCCCAGUAGUGGGAACAACUCCGAGAAAUCGGAGCUAAUACCGCAUACGGUCUGUAUCGAGGGAUACGAGACUAAAGCGAGCAAUCGCGCUAUUGGAGGAACCUGCGGCUGAUUAGCUAGUUGGUGGGAAGCCGUACCAGCGAUGAUCAGUAGCUGGUCUGAGAGGAUGGACAGCCAC
rnacentral:rRNA from 1 species